AGCGAACGCUGGCGGCAGGCUUAACACAUGCAAGUCGAGCGCCCCGCAAGGGGAGCGGCAGCCGGGAGAGUAACACGUGGGAACAUACCUUUUGGUUCGGAACAACUGAGGGAGACUUCAGCUAAUACCGGAUAAGCCCUUACGGGGAAAGAUUUAUCGUCGAAAGAUUGGCCCGCGUCUGAUUAGCUAGUUGGGGAGGUCACGGCUCACCAAGGCGACGACCAGUACCUGGUCUGAGAGGAUGGGCAGCCUCACUGGGACUGAGACACGGCCCAGACUCCUACGGGAGGCAGGAGUGGGGAAUAUUGGACAAUGGGGGCAACCCUGAUCCAGCCAUGCCGCGUGAGUGAUGAAAGCCUUAGGGUUGUAAAGCUCUUUUGCCCGGGAAGAUAAUGACGGUACCGGGAGAAUAAGCCCCGGCUAACUUCGUG
rnacentral:rRNA from 1 species